GAUGCAAACAGCAAGAGGAUUUUUAUUCCGAGCGUGCUGGUGCCCACAGUUGUACGCCACGCAGUGGUAGAGGACUGUAGCCCCGAGUGUGGAGUUGGGACAGCUUUUAUGGGGUUCACAACAAAGCCCGCGCUUUUACACACUAAUCGUUUUAAAAUAUCACAAACCAGUCAAUUCAAAACUUCAAGAGCCCGCGCUUUGUGGACCAAUUAAUUUUAAAUUGUUCUGGAGUUACGUGCUUGUGCCUGUCCCGGGGUGGGGGAGACAUAUUGUCGCCAAGAUAUAUUUAUCAGGAUUUUCAACAUUUUGUGGCGCACCUGAUCUUACUGGGGUCGGUUAGGCGAUUAACUUCUCCUCUUUUUAUCUAAUGCAAGCAGCUUUACAGAAGCCAAACAAGCAGUUAGGAACCUUUUUCCCUGUUAUCUCAAGCAGUUUCAAGAAGUUUCAUGCAUAGAGGCACAUACUCAGGGGCCUGUUUUUCCCCUUCCACAUAGUUUUGUACAGAACAGAAAGCAAGUCCUAAAACAGCAAAAAGUAUGAUCUUUUACCUAUAGGGAACAGGGUCUGAAUUCAAGGGCAUUUAGAGUUUCUUAUUAACUUCCUGUGUUCUGGGAGGGUCCGGUUGCAUUUUCAUCCUUUCAUUCCCCACUUCUUCUCUUGUUAAUUGUUCUAAUCUUAGAACUAGGAAGGCUAAAGGUCAGUUUCUCCUUGGCUUGGAAGGCCUUUGUACUGCUGUCUAAGUACCAUGAUCUGAACUGCACUCACUUGUUUUCUAACAAAGGCAACAAACCGAUUAAUUAAGCAAGGCCCAACUGCUCAGUGGGGACUGAUCCAGAGGUUGUAUUGUAAUCAGAGGGGUUAGGAGAUGGCCUCUGUUCUUGGAUUGGAGGUCCUUGUUCGGCCAAACCCUUAUUUGGUCCUAUAGCAACCGGAGGUUCCAUCUGAGUUUGUAUUCUGAGGCGAAUAGUUAGAAUAGAUCCUUUCCUUUUCCCAGAGCCUCCAUAGUACAUUAUUUUUCAAGACAUACCAUUUACCCACUUUUGAAUAUUUUCUUGUUUUUUUUUUCAGUGAAACUUAUUUUUAAGUAAUCUAGGUCUAACAAAUUACAGCUUAUUUGCUUAUUUUGUACAUCUUUUUGUACCCGCUGUUGUCAAUCUUUUUAUCUCCCAUGGCCAUAAUUAAAUUGAUUAUAAGUGGUAGGAUUGUUAACAAAAGAGUAACUUACUCUGUCUUGUUGAGAGACUGGCCAUUUCCAAUUCCCAUCAUUAGAAGUUACGCAGCUCUAUUGUUUGUAAAAGAAAUCCUGAGGAUUUUCACAGUAUUUUUUAUUAUUUGGGGGUCCUGGGCAAACAUAAAACCUGUAAGCACGGAGUACAUCGGGGGGUGUGGCCUGGUCGUUGAGACCAGGGAUUACCGAUCCAAGGCAGACAUAUAAUUCAGGCCACCAGGUCCCUAAGGGAGCCUCCCCUUGAGUGCUGUUAAUAUUAAUACCUGUACCAGAGUCAGUAAGUAACCAGGUGAGAGAUAAGGGUUUAUGGGAGUUCGGGCUGUCCACAAGGCGUUUACCAUUAACUUGAGGAGUUAUUGACAGAGUAAGGAACCAAGCGAUGGAGGCGAAGCUUAAGGGGAUUUUCAGUCUUUUCGGCUCUCCACCCCGAAUCGGGAGGUGGCGCCGGCUUAACGUGGGAUGCAUGGAUCCAGGUGGAGAUUCCUUUAACUUUUACAGCUGUUGGUGUGGUCAAAAGUACGAGAUAAGGGCCCUUCCACCAAGUCUCGAGUUUUUCUGCACGGUGGUGUCUAACAUAGACUGAAUCUUUAUCUUGGAAGCAAUGUGGAACUUGCAAGUCUCCUUCUGAGUAGGCCUCCCCAUCAGCACUAUGUGCAAAGGCAAUUUCUGCCAACGGGGGGGGUCCCCCGUAGAGCAAUUCAUAGGGGGUCAGCCCAAACUGUCCAGGGGUGUUCCUAACCCUAAAAAGCACAAAGGGCAGGAGAGCUAUCCAAUCAUUAAUGCCAGUCUCUGUGGUCAAUUUGGUAAGGGUCUCUUUAAUGGUUCUAUUCAUCCUCUCUACCUGUCCUGAGCUUUGGGGUCUGUAUGCACAAUGCAGUUUCCAAUCAAUCCCCAAUAUCUUGGCCAGUCCCUGACUUACCUGGGCAACAAAAGCUGGACCAUUGUCUGACCCGAUUACCUUAGGUAUUCCAAAUCUCGGAAAAAUUUCCUCCAGUAUUUUUUUAGCCACCACGGUUGAAGUCUCUUUCUUAGUAGGAUAAGCCUCUACCCAUCCUGAAAAGGUGUCUACAAAAACCAAUAGAUAUUUGUUUCCGUAUUUAGCCGGCUUUACCUCAGUGAAGUCCACUUCCCAGUGAGCGCCUGGGUGGCUUCCCCUUAGUCUCUUUCCUGGAGGUAUUCUGGAAGGAUUAGCAUUAACCAGCUGGCAGGGCACACAAUGUUUGACCACCGAGUCAGCCACUCCUGGUAGCCUCAGAACAUGAUAAGGGGAUGUUCUGACCAACUGCUGCAGGUGUUUAGUUCCUAGGUGGGUGAGACGAUGUAUCUGUUGGACAUAUUCUAACCCUUCUUUGUGGGGCAGGAUUUCCUUCCCAUAUGAGGUAUAGCAGGUCCCCUCCGGAGUCUCAGAGAACUGGUCUAUCUUUUUUAUCUCUUGCCAGUCUUCUAGGGUGUACUGUCGUCUGGGUUCUGGGGCUUUGGGCGUUUCUAUUAUAGGCAGAAGGUUAACACCCUGGGCUGCCUGCUUGGCAACCCGGUCAGCCAUCUGGUUCCCUCUAGAUAUGAGAUCUUUGGCUUUCUGAUGUCCAGGACAGUGUAUAAUAGCUAGCCUUUUUGGCAAAUGUAAGGCUUCUAAUAGGCUUAGAAUUUCCUCUUUGUUCUUUAUUUCCCUCCCUGCUGAGGUAAGCAACCCCCUUUGCUUAUAGAUGGCCCCGUGUACGUGUGCAGUCGCAAAGGCAUACCUGCUGUCCGUAUAAAUGUUUAUGGAUUUCCCUUUGGCCAGCCGCAAAGCUUGCGUGAGGGCCAUGAGCUCAGCCUUUUGUGCUGAAGUCCCUUCCGGCAGGCUGCUGGCCCAGAUCUUGCGGGUCCCAUCCACCACCACCGCCCCAGCCAUCCUCUUAUCUUCUACCACAUAGUUGUUUCCAUCAGUGAACCAGGUUAGCACUUCUCCAGUCAGCGGUAUGUCUGUAAGGUCCUUGCGGACCCCAGUCUCCUCAAUCAAUAGUUGAUGGCAAUCAUGAGUCACUGGUUCAUCAGUCUCUUCAGGCAGAAGAGUGGCAGGGUUGAGAGUGGCUGGUGGAGCGAACGUGACCCUCUCUGUGAGAAGCAGGCUUUGAUAGUGGGUCAUGCGGGCGUUGGUCAUCCAUCAGUCUGGGGGCUGCCGAAUGAUGUUUUCCAACGCAUGGGGGGCUAUUACAGUUAUAUUCUGUCCCAAAGUCAAUUUGUCAGCGUCCUUGACCAGUAUGGCCAGAGCUGCGAUAGCCUUCAGGCAUAUGGGCCAACCACUGGCUACAGGAUCGAGCUUCUUUGACAGGUAGGCAACAGGUCUCCUCCAUGGUCCUAGGGUUUGGGUUAGAACUCCCCGGGCUACUCCCUUACGUUCAUCCACAUAAAGGGUAAAGGGUUUAGUUACAUCAGGGAGGGCCAGAGCAGGUGCGCUCAGCAGGGCCUUUUUGCUAGCAUCAAAUGCCUUCUGGUGCUCAGGAGCCCAGGAGAAUUCCCCUUUUUCUUUGGUUAGCGGGUAGAGUGGGGCUGUUAAGGUUGCAAACCCCAGGAUCCACAGUCUGCAAAAUCCAGCUGUCCCCAAAAACUCUCUCACUUGUUUGGCUGUGGUUGGGGCCGGUAUCUGGACUACAGUUUUCUUCCGUGCCUCUGUCAGCCAUCGCUGCCCACCCCGCAAACUGUAUCCCAAGUAUGUUACCUCUCUCCUGCAAAUCUGGGCCUUUUUAGUGGAGGCUCUGUAGCCUAUGUCAGACAAUUCCAGCAGUAGUGUCUUCGUACCUUCUAAGCAGUCCUGUUUGGUGGCUCCCGCCAGAAGCAGGUCAUCCACGUACUGGAGGAGGGUCACCUGAGGGUGUUGGAUCCUGAAGUUGGCCAGGUCUCUGUGUAGGGCUUCGUCAAAGAUGGUUGGGGCGUUUUUGAACCUUUGGGGCAGUCGGGUCCAGGUGAGCUGCCCGGUUCUUCCUGUACCUGGAUCUUUCCAAUCGAAGGCAAAAAGUGGUUGGCUAGUGGGAUGUAGUCUCAGGCAGAAGAAGGCAUCCUUUAAGUCCAAUACUGUAUACCAGCUCCGUUGGGGUGGGAGAGCACACAAGAGGUUAUAAGGGUUCGGGACUGUUGGGUGUAUAUCCUGCACCCGUUUAUUGACCUCUCUCAAGUCCUGUACUGGUCGAUAGUCAUUGGUCCCAGGCUUUCUAACCGGUAGCAGGGGAGUAUUCCAGGGAGAUUGGACAGGAACUAGGAUGCCCUGUUGGAUUAAUCUUUGAAC
ensembl:lncRNA